UUUCUUGUCGUGCAAAAUGCACACAAGAUUUUUUUUUUUGGAUAGUUGGUUUUGCCCCUGAAUA
rnacentral:tRNA from 1 species